rnacentral:rRNA from 1 species
UAGGGAAUAUUGCGCAAUGGGGGAAACCCUGACGCAGCAACGCCACGUGUGGGAAGACGCAUUUCGGUGUGUAAACCACUGUCGAUGGGGAACAAUUUGGCCUAGCGGCCAGUUGAGUGUACCCAUAAAGGAAGCACCGGCUAACUUCGUGCCAGCAGCCGCGGUAAUACGAGGGGUGCGAGCGUUGUUCGGAAUCACUGGGCGUAAAGGGUUCGUAGGCGGAAGAGCAAGCCAGGCGUCUAAUUCCAGGGCUCAACCCUGGGCUUGCGCUUGGAACUGCUUUUCUUGAAUGGUUCAGGGGCAGGCGGAAUACCCGGUGUAGCGGUGGAAUGCGUAGAUAUCGGGUGGAACACCAAUGGCGAAGGCAGCCUGCUGGGAACACAUUGACGCUGAGGAACGAAAGCGUGGGGAGCAAACAGG